ACGGCUGCACCCGGACAGACAAUCUGCAGCCUCUGUCUCUGGGCAGUCACCAGACAACCCCCUGAAAACUCUCCUCUCCAAACACAGGGACAAUGAGACUUUGGUUGUAUCUCGUUCUCAUUGCAGCAGCGUUUGAAGGUGUCUGGUCCCAGGUGCAGCUGGUGGAGUCUGGAGGGGAUGUGAAAAAGCCCGGAGACUCUCUCCGCCUCUCCUGCAAAGCCUCCGGCUUCACCUUCAGCAGCUACUACGUGGGCUGGGUCCGUCAGGCUCCCGGGAAGGGACUGGAGUGGCUCACCUGGAUUCACGGCUCUAGCAUAUACUACAGUGACUCCAUAAAAGGGCGAUUCACCGUCUCCAGAGAUGACCCCAACAGUCUGCUGUACCUGCAAAUGACCGGCCUGAAGCCCGAGGACACCGCCCGCUAUUACUGUGCGAGAGACACAGUGAGGGGAAUCCCAAUACUGCUAAUACAAAAACUCAAGCUGCAGAAUCUUCUUUCUGCCAUACGCUGCGUAGGGGCAGCACUUCCACAAACCAUCCAGCCCUGGGCACAGGAACGGGAUCUACAACCAGAGCGAAAAACCCUCUCGUCAGGUUUGAGAUCUCUGUAUUCAUAUACGAUCACGUGUCCAUAA